GACGAACCGUGCGAACGUUAUUCGGAAUCACUGGGCUUAAAGCGCGUGUAGGCGGGUCGGCGCGUCGGAUGCUGAAAUCCCCCGGCUCAACCGGGGAACGGGCACCGAAACGGCCGUCCUGGAGGGGGGUAGGGGGCGCUGGAACUCACGGUGGAGCGGUGAAAUGCGUUGAGAUCGUGAGGAACGCCCGCGGCGAAAGCGAGCGCCUGGACCCUUUCUGACGCUGAGACGCGAAAGCCAGGGGAGCGAACGGG
rnacentral:rRNA from 1 species